rnacentral:rRNA from 1 species
UACGGGGGGGGCAAGCGUUGUUCGGAAUUACUGGGCGUAAAGGGCUCGUAGGCGGCCAACUAAGUCAGACGUGAAAUCCCUCGGCUUAACCGGGGAACUGCAUCUGAUACUGGAUGGCUUGAGAUUGGGAGAGGGAUGCGGAAUUCCAGGUGUAGCGGUGAAAUGCGUAGAUAUCUGGAGGAACACCGGUGGCGAAGGCGGCAUCCUGGACCAACACUGACGCUGAGACGCGAAAGCGUGGGGAGCAAACAGG